UCAUGAGGAGGUAUUGUCUCACACCCAUUAGGAUGGCCACUGUGUAUAGUCCCAGCAGAGCAAAACCAGAGCGUAACCAGGUCUGUGAGGAGAAGGAUGUGCAGGGAUGAAACCUUUGCUGCUGCUGCGGGGACUGAUGCAGUUCUUGGGGAAAGCAGGCCUAUCAGCGACCAGCAGGGGCAACAUCCUGGGGACUUGCUCUUUAGAGGAUGGAGUUCUUCGGCAGGCUGUAACAUCAACUGGAAAGAGGCAGGGUCUUACACCGCAUUCCGGGCCGGCUUGGAACUCAGUGUGUAGCACAGCCUGUCUUCAGUCUUGGAAACUCUCCUGCCCCACACUCCUUUUACUGGCUGGUUUUGUGUCAACUUGACA